rfam:Cricetulus griseus cell line CHO-K1, whole genome shotgun sequence.
GGGAAACUCCCCGGCCCCGCUGUAGAGGGACGUGCAGCGACUGGGCCUGAACGUACAAGGUCCCCA